GGAUAACAGAAAGAGACAGAAGAGAAAGAAGUAUGUAUAUGUAUGUAGUACCAAAAUAUCUGUUAGUUGGAGCGCGUGGCAGCCCGGUCGCUGGAUGAUAGAAAGCACAUGCCCGGCGUGAGAACUGUCAAAUACAGUGUUGUUUUUAUUGAAAGUAAAACCAUGGAGGCCUAAAAAGGGCACUUCCGUUAAGAUCAAAUCGAUAUCGCAGGAAUGGUUAAUGCUGCACGUUCUCUAUCUUCGCUGGCAAAGGGCCUGUGCUCGAGAUCUUUCACCAAACAUUCCGUGAUGAAGUCGACCAACUCUGGAGAAUGGAUAUCUGGAUUUUUGAGGGACGGUGGUGGAUUUCUGGGGAUUUGAAAGAGUGCCCUCAUAGGGUGCAGUUCAGAUAGGGGUGGAUCGCCCUCUGCUAGUUCGAUUGCUGUGAUUCCAACUGACCAAACAUCGCAUCGAGAAUCGUAAGAAGAAUCAAGUUGUUGUUCGCAAGCUAUCACCUAUUCGUAAUUU
rnacentral:misc_RNA from 1 species